rnacentral:rRNA from 1 species
ACUUUAAGCGAGGAGGAGGCUACUGAAGUUAAUACCUUCAGAUAGUGGACGUUACUCGCAGAAUAAGCACCGGCUAACUCUGUGCCAGCAGCCGCGGUAAUACAGAGGGUGCAAGCGUUAAUCGGAUUUACUGGGCGUAAAGCGCGCGUAGGCGGCUAAUUAAGUCAAAUGUGAAAUCCCCGAGCUUAACUUGGGAAUUGCAUUCGAUACUGGUUAGCUAGAGUGUGGGAGAGGAUGGUAGAAUUCCAGGUGUAGCGGUGAAAUGCGUAGAGAUCUGGAGGAAUACCGAUGGCGAAGGCAGCCAUCUGGCCUAACACUGACGCUGAGGUGCGAAAGCAUGGGGAGCAAACAGGAUUAGAUACCCUGGUAGUCCAUGCCGUAAACGAUGUCUACUAGCCGUUGGGGCCUUUGAGGCUUUAGUGGCGC